rnacentral:tRNA from 1 species
ACAUUGGUGGGUCAGUGGUAGAAUUCUUGCCUGCCACGUGGGAGACCCGGGUCCGAUUCCCGGCCAAUGCA